CAAAAUAAAGCUUUAUUUAGUUAAGCAUUUCAUUUACACUGAUAAGAUUUUUCGUGCAAAUCGAAUUAUUUUGA
rnacentral:tRNA from 1 species